CUGCGCAUAAAUCUGAGAAACGUGAGUUUUGUCUUCAUUGUUUAUCUAGACAUAGGAUAGGUUGUGUGAAAAUAUUACUGAUGUUUAACGUUAAAAAUGGACCAAAAGAUUAAUGCUAAACAACAUUUGACAUGUUUGAACGAACAUAAAUAGAUUAUUUACUAGGUUUUUUUAGCUUUUCGGGCGUGAUUUUACAGUCCCCCCACCACGUUUUGUGGGAGCAUAAAGAACGCUAAGUACUUGGUGUUAUUUGGACAUAAAUUAUGAACUUUGUCAAAAGAAACCACAUUUGUUCCGGACCUGGGAUGGCUUCCGGACCUGGGAUGCCUGCCUUCUGAUGGAGAUAAUCAAAGUCACCAGAUCUCAACCCAGUUGAACUGUUUCUGGAGCGGUGCCUGAGACAGCAUUUUCCACCACCAUCAACAAAACAUCAAAUUAUGGAAUUUCACGUAGAAGAAUGGUGUCUCAUCCCUCCAAUAGAGUUCUAGACAUUCCAAGGCUGAACAUGAUUGUUUGCUAGCUGAUCCAGUCACACGGAGCCAGUCACACUACCUAGUGCUGCACACAAAAUGCUGAAUGCUUCCACCAAUCAGUUGAGGGAUGAGCUUCGGGUAGGAGUGACGUCAUCUGACAUAAGUCGAUGGAUAGGCAACACCGACAGGAUCACCAGGGGACUGGCUGCCACUGUGACUCUGUGACAACCUUAUCCAGAUGAGAGGACCUGAGCCCUAGGACCAUGCCUCAGGACUACCUGGCAUGAUGACUCAUUGCUCUUCCCAGUCCACCUGGCUGCUCCAGUUUCAACUGUUCUGCCUGCGGCUAUGGAACCCUGACCUGUUCACCGGACGUACUUGUUGCACCCUCGACAACUACUAUGAUUAUUAUUAUUUGACCAUGCUGGUUAUUUAUGAACAUUUUAACAUCUUGACCAUGUUCUGUUAUAAUAUCCACCCGGCACAGCCAGAAGAGGACUGGCCACCCCUCAUAGCCUGGUUCCUCUCUAGGUUUCUUCCUAGGUUUUUGGCCUUUCUAGGGAGUUUUUCCUAGCCACCGUGCUUCUUUCACAUGCAUUGCUUGCUGUUUGGGGUUUUAGGCUGGGUUUCUGUACAGCACUUUGAGAUAUCAGCUGAUGUACGAAGGGCUAUAUAAAUACAUUUGAUUUGAUUUAGUGAAUGCGUACAUUCCUUGCAUUUUUUUUUUUGUACUGGCCCCCCGUGGGAAUUGAACCCACAACCCUGGCGUUGCACACACCAUGCUGGCAUUGCAAACAACAUUCUCUACCAACUGAGCUACAGGGAAGACCAUGUCACUGAUGGAGUGCUGAGGUUUAGAGGGUCUACACUAGAAGUUCAUGGUUAUAGGAGGAAGGUAUAUAGUGUGUGCAAUUAAGCUUGGAAUGUGCUGAGUGCAGGGAAGCAAUUGCAUGUGGCAGGCAUUGAUAAGAGGAGAGAGCCAUGGAUUAGUGAUUGAGGGGGGUUGAGGUCAGGUCAGGUCACCUUAAGGGAGAAAUAAAAGUUUAUGGCCCGUAUCACUGGUGUCCUGCCUAGCAGUAAACAACGAUGUUUGCACAGAUGGGUAGGAGGAGACUCAGUCAAUGAGGAAUGGUUAAAUAUCAGUGCUUGUGUGAAAAUGUUUUUGUCUAAUACAGCUGUAUUGAUCCUCUUGUUAAGCUUUCAUAAUGUCUGUUGAGUUUUUACUCUGAGAAUUAGAACCUAACAACGCGAAUGAAUAAUCUAUCUUCGAUGUCAAGCUUUCACUUUCUCAGAAAAAACAGGAUUCAUGUGAAAACAACACGACAGAACACACACCUUCCUUACACACCGCCCAGAAGUGGGAAACUAACCGAAUACAGAUUAAAGCACAAGUUGCUCUUUAACAUAAACUACAGAGGGGACCUGAUGACACAAACACGCUGGGUUUGGGAAUGACUUGAGCACGUGUGCAUCAGUCAUGGCAUUUUUAUACUGCCAUCACAUUGGGUGUACUGUAGUUAGUAGGACAGCAUCACUGAGAGAUAGUCAGAUUGAUUUUUCAAAAGGCUGCAGUGGUCUUUGAUAUUGAGUAUGGCAUGGAACCGAGGCAGCAGCAGCGAUACCGUUAACACUACCUUUCCGAAUAACAGGGAAAAAUAACACCAUAUCCUUGUUUACUGAGAAGACUGGAGAAGUAUCAAGGGUGUCGUGUGUAUACAGCGUUCACCUUCAAAGAUCAGUCUGGACGUUGCGUGCUUUCAGAGUUCAGAAAGGAAACACCACGUGCACAAUUAACCAUUUAUUAGAAAAGAUUACAUUAGUCUUGGAGUUAGACUCUGCUCCUUCAGGGUAGCUUACUGACAGAG
rnacentral:lncRNA from 1 species